rnacentral:rRNA from 1 species
GACGAACGCUGGCGGCGUGCUUAACACAUGCAAGUCGAACGGUAAGGCCCUUCGGGGUACACGAGUGGCGAACGGGUGAGUAGCACGUGGGUGAUCUGCCCUGCACUUCGGGAUAAGCCUGGGAAACUGUGCCUAAUGCCGGAUAGGACCACUGCCUGCAGGGGUGGUGGCGGGAAGCUUUUGCGGUGUGGGAUGGGGCCGCGGCCUAUCAGCUUGUUGGUGGGGUGAUGGCGUACCAAGGCGACGACGGGUAGCCGGCCUGAGAGGGUGACCGGCCACACUGGGACUGAGAUACGGCCCAGACUCCUAAGGGAGGCAGCAGUGGGGAAUAUUGCACAAUGGGCGCAAGCCUGAUGCAGCGACGCCGCGUGAGGGAUGACGGCCUUCGGGUUGUAAACCUCUUUCAGCACAGACGAAGCGCAAGUGACGGUAGGUGCAGAAGAAGGACCGGCCAACUACGUGCCAGCCGCCGCAGUAA